GUUGGCAUGACACGGGUUAUGUUCUACUCAUAUAUGUUAUGAUGGUAUGAUACUAAACCCCUAACGGGAAGGAUUGUGCCUGAUGUUCAUAUGAUGAAAUCAUAAUCUUUCAGUCAGUUUAAUUGAAGUCUGGAGCUGGCAUGUCAGUUAACUGCUAGUAGUCUGUUGUUAUUUAUGUAUUAUUGUCAUUUUGUUUAUUUUCUUUGGUUACAUCUUCUGACAUCAGACUCGGACUUCUCUUGAACUGAAUUUUAAUGUGUGUAUUGUUAUGCGUUUACUUUUCU
rnacentral:lncRNA from 1 species